AGCUUUGCGCAGUGGCAGUAUCGUAGCCAAUGAGGUUUAUCUGAGGCGCGAUUAUUGCUAAUUGAAAAAAUAAAUGAUUAUCACUAUGUAAUUAAUGUUCAUAUCAUCCUCAUCAACUGCAGGCA
rnacentral:snRNA from 1 species